rnacentral:tRNA from 1 species
GGGAGCGUAGCUCAGCAGGUAGAGCACGUAAAUGGGGGUUAGACAUAAUCCCCAACAGCAACUUUAAGUGAGCAUAGAAAGCCCGAGGUCGCAGGUUCGAAUCCUGCCGCUCCCA